GGCUGCGAGCCCGAGCUCCCCAGCGCGCGUGAGGGCAGGCACCCGGCCUAACGGUUGUUUCCGUUCCAAUAGUACUAGGCGGCCCCAGUUAUUCUAGAAAAUGGGAAGGAGAAAAGAAGCAACUGAAGACUCCAACUGAGGCUCCAACCUGCAGCAUUGCCGACUUUGCCAGAUCCCUUCUAAAGAUUCAUUCAGCAUUCUUUGGAGCAUCAAGUCUUGGCCAGCCCUGGAGGUGCAAAGGUUUCUACGCUCCCCCUAUCAUCUCCAUCCCAGAGGUUAUCGCAGAUUAGAAGGCAAAAAAAACGCACUUGCGAUGACAUGUUUUCCGAGCUCAUGCAGUCCUCCCGCACCGAUAGGGCACAGCUGAAUGCAUGGAGGCAUUCAGUGGCAGAAUCCAGGAAAGAAUAAUAAGUGAGCGCGAUGAGAAGAGGCAGGAUGCAAUGCUGAGGCUAAUAGAGGAGCAAACGGACAUGCUCUGGCAUCUGGUGGAGCUGCAGGAAAACCAACAAGAGCACAGGCUGCCGCUGCAUCCACUGUACAACCACCUGCCCUCCUCUCCAAGUUCCAUAUCCUCCUCACCCAGACACCCAAGAAUGCAAGGGGGGAGGCUCCGGGCACCCAGCCAUUCACUCCAGAGGAUGGCCCAAGCAACAGAAGGCUGUCAUUCAAACAGUUUUGAUUUGUAGUCUGGCUACAAUAAGCAAUGUGGCCUUGUCCUUCCCUCCUCCCCAUCUCCCUUCCUCC